GGCCGGUUAGUUCAGUUGGUCAGAGCAUCAUGCUGAUAACGCGAAGGUCGCGGGUUUGAUACCCGUACUGACCA
rnacentral:tRNA from 1 species